UACGGAGGGUGCGAGCGUUAAUCGGAAUUAUUGGGCGUAAAGGGCGCGUAGGCGGUGCGGAAAGUCUUCAGUGAAAUCUCUGGGCUCAACUCAGAGUUGGCUGGGGAAACUCCCGUGCUUGAGUGUGGGAGAGGUGAGUGGAAUUCCCGGUGUAGCGGUGAAAUGCGUAGAUAUCAGGAGGAACACCAAUAGCGAAGGCAGCUCGCUGGGACGUUACUGACACUGAGGCGCGAAAGCGUGGGGAGCGAACAGG
rnacentral:rRNA from 1 species